UCCAAGACCCAUCUUUCCAUUGUCGUGGCUCUUAACCAAGGAUGAGGCAGCUUUGUAUAUACAAAGAUAUGUCCGUGGCUGGUUAGUUAGAAAGCGCGAUUAUGUACAAGAAAUGAGACAAUUUUGGAAGGCUCUUGCAGAGGAAAAAGCGAAUAUUACUGAAACUUUGAUGGACGAGGAUCUAGGAUCAAAGGAGGAGUUGAAAAUGGAAGAGCAAAUUGAUGAUAUGUGUGAAUUUUACAAAUUACUAGGAAAGUAUAAGAAAACGAUAUAAUACUACUUUGUUAAUAUAAUAAAACUAUAAAGGUACAUUAAUAUUAUUUAUUAAAUCUAAAUCUGUUUUAGAAUAGAAAGUACCUUCUGU